CUUUUUUUUUUUUUUUUUUUUUGGCUUAAAUUUGAAAAGAAAAGGACGUAGGAGUGUACCACCUAUCAUUUAAAUGAGUUUAUUAAUCUGUUAGUGAGUAGUAUGUGUUACAUUUGCUUAAUCUGGCUGCUUGAUCCCUUCCUUUAGCUUUGGUUAGUAGUCAACAUUCAUUUUUAAAGGCUUAUACCUCCUUUUGCCCUAAAUUUUUAUUGAUGAUCUGUUCCAUUUGUAUGUUUGCGACUUUAGCCAUAUGGCCUGUGGUUUCACUAACCUAUCCGUGCUGAAUCAUUCUUAUAACAUCUGUCUUCUCGAGUUCUUGAUUUUGACUGCACUCUGUCUCUGACAUGUAUCUUUUAGUUACACGUUUGAUGAAUUACCUGCACUUUCACCCCCCCUCUCUGGAUGUCAUUUCUUGCUUGCUAUUUGUCAUCUUGCGAUUCUUUUAUCCUAAUUUCUUACUUUUUCAUGCUUACCUUCCGUGAUUUGGUAUUUAGGUAAUAGAAGGAGCCUUCAGAUUUACCAUUAUUUUCUCCUUUUUGUUGCCAGAUUUUGGUGAUUCAAGUCCUCUUAACUCUCAAAAUUGAGCUGAGCACUCCACUGAACAUGACUAAUCAAAUGACUGCCAAAAUUCGACUGGUUAGAUGUCCCGGAUGCAGACAGCUUCUUCAAGAACCAGAUAUCCCCGUAUACAAGUGUGGAGGAUGUGGUGCUGUUCUGCAAGGUAAUCAAAUAUUUAUCCACUCCUGUUUACGUAGUUCAUAUUGCCAUCAUAAAAGGACGAACAGAGCUGUUUAUUACAAAAAAAGCAGCUAGCUAAAAGCUGAUACAUUUCUGUGCAUAUGUGAACCCACAAACAUGCAUUUAAUUCUAUGUAGUUGGUUACAUGUAUGUUAUCUGUAUAUUAGGGCUACAAAGGACAUGAGCUUACCUCAUAAAAUGUUCCAGCUUGCAUUGUCCUAGAUCCAAUUGGAAAUGUUUUCAUUUGUACCAUCUAGCAUAAUCAAAUUUUAUGUUCAUGAUGUGAUAAUAUUUCAAGAUGAAAUCAGGGGUUUAUGUUGAGGUGCUAAAAUGUGAUUCAUCCUCAUAUUAUAUACUUAGUAUUGAUCACAAUUAGUUGGAUUUCAUAAGCUAACUAGAUAGGGCAUAUUUUAGUGCUUUCAGUUUGUAGUAAGCAGUAGUAUUUAGAUAUGGUUUCCUGAUAACAAUAUGUGUCCUCAAGCAGCGAAGAAGUUCAAAACUGACACCAAAGACACAAGAUUCAGCAGUGAUGGUACUCAUGUAGAAGGAAAAAGGGAACUGGAUUAUGCACCAGAUCAGAAAGACAUCAGCAGACUUAAUCAUGGAGCAACUAGCUCUGCAGGGGGGUCGUCACCAGAUACAAGCAAUGACAGGAAAGAAGAUCAUUUUUCAGACUGCAAUGCGAAGCAGUUUGGUGACAAAAUUUUUUCUCAUGAGCUUCCUAAUUCACUGCAUCUUACUUCUCGAGAAAAUGGAGAUUUGUCAACAAUCACUGGGGAACAGAUUGAACAAGCUCAAUGUGAUCGUAAUGCAGAACAGGAAACACAUAAUGCAGACCAGGAUAUACACAAGUAUGAAAAUCAGUUCGGUGAUUCCAAUGGGAAGCAGCCUGGUGACAAAAUUUUUUCUCGUGAGUUUCCUAGUUCACUGCGCCUUACUUCUCAACAAAAUGGAGAUUUAUCACCAAGCAUUGGGGGACAGAUAAGGGCACCGAUUGAACAAGCUCAAUGUGAUCAUAAUGCAGAACAGGAAACACAUAAUGCAGACCAGGAUAUACACAAGUAUGAAAAUCAGUUCGGUGAUUCCAAUGGGAAGCAGCCUGGUGACAAAAUUUUUUCUCAUGAGUUUCCUAGUUCACCGUGCCUUAAUUCUCGAGAAAAUGGAGAUUUAUCACCAAGCAUUGGGGGACAGAUAAGGGAACCGAUUGAACAAGCUCAAUGUGAUCAUAAUGCAGUACAGGAAACACAUAAUGCAGACCACGAUACAAACAAGUACGAAAAUCAGUUCAGUGAUUCCAAUGGGAAGCAGCCUGGUGACAAAAUUUUUUCUCAUGGGUUGCCUAAUUCACUAUGCCUUACUUCUCGAGAAAAUGGAGAUUUGUCACCAAGCACUGGGGAACAGAUUGAACAAGAUCAAUGUGAUUAUGACCAGGAUACACAUAAUGCAGACCAGGAUAUGCACAGAUAUGAAAAUCAGUUCGGUGAUUCCAAAAGGAACAGGAGUAGAGGUAGAAGCUCUUCUGAUGGCUUUUAUAGUUCAUUGGAAUUCCCAUGCCAUGAGACAGAUGAUUCAUCGCCAGAACAUCAAGCAAUCAUGGCAUCCGGACUUAGCAAUAGGACGACAGAUAAUCGUGCAAGAAUGGAACAAAUGGCACGUGAAGAUUGCAACCAGGAGCAGGACAAGGAUACCAACCUCCUCAGUAAAGUUUCUUUACUGACAGAAGGUAAGCUUGAUGAGAAUGAUUGUUCUCCAAAAGGUAAUGCAUUGGAAGAAAGGGAUCAAAGUAAAUGUGUCAUGCAACAUGUUGACAAAGAAUGCAACUUUGAAGGUCACAGUAAGGAGUUUCCAAAAAAUGACAGUGCCUCCCUGGAAAUUUCUUCAUCUGCUGUGAGUGUCCCUGAAAAAAUAUCAGCAUUAAUAGAAGCAAACUCAGAAGUGCAAGACAACUUAGGUGGUCACGUCCUUGGUAGCUUUGAUACAGAAGAUUUGUUGGAUGGCAAGGAAACUGAUGCAAGUGACACUGAUGAAAAUCCCCUGGAUCAGACUAUUCCAUUGUACAAUGUUGACUCUCCUGGUGAUCAACACCUUGGAGCCUCUCAGAGAAUUUCCCAACAUGCAAGCUCUGAGGACGUUUUGGAUAAUCUGCCACUAGUCAAUUUGAGCUCUGAGCUUGGGCGGAAGAAUAUAAAUUUGUCCAAGUCUCCAACCAAAAGCUACUAUGGUGAUGAUGGUAGUGCAUCUUCUUAUGAUGGGUUUGAGAACCGGUUCCCUGGCCGGUUCUCAAAACCCCCCAAAAGAAAGUUAAAGCAAAACAUGAACAACUCCAGUAGGUUGCAAAGGGAAUUUGGACCUUCAGCAAAUGAUGUUCUGAGCAGCAACCUUGGGAUGCAAGACCAAGCAAUUCUUGGACCUGGGUCAGAGGUACAGAACCUGGCAAGGAAGUCCUCAAUAUUGCCAGAGAAGAAUCAUUCUACCAUGAAAUACAAAAUUCACCAGGAUGGUUUGCAUGACCCCAGAAGUUACCGCCAUUCUAGUGGAAGUAGAAUAAGAGAGGACAAUGAUGAGCAUGUUUCUAAGCUUCCAUCCAUUCCAAGGUACCCUUUGAAUGGCCAUAGAAAAGGGAAUUUAUCGCAUCAUCCAUUCAGUGUUUUCCAGCAUCAAUCAGAUUUGUGUGCAGCCAAUGCACCAUCUUACACUGAACCAGACAAACUGGAGCUGUUAAGAAUGGUACAUGAACUGAAAGAUGAGCUCAACAGAAUGCAUAUAUCAAACAGUAGGUUUCCUUCUUCAGUUAUCAGGGAGGACAAGUAUAAUCCAUUGUUUUACAAUCAUCGCUUGGCACCUUUGGAGGGAAUAUCUGCUGAUUUACAGUAUUCCAAAUAUCCUGGAAGGUUUAGUCAAUGGAAAGGCUUGCCCCAGUUUCAUAGAGUCCCAAGAGUGGCUUUUUCAGGAGAUGCUGCAGAUUACAGGCGCCAAAUUGAAUGUGCAUAUUUGCACCAUCAUCCUCAUGACUGGCAAUGCUCAGUACAGUUACCUUCACAUUCAUUAGGCUGUAAUAAAGUCCACUGUAUGUCCCAUGGCAGUACAUGUUACAAUGGCCAGUGUUCCACAUCCUCAAGUCCUCAGCAUUAUAAUAGCUCUGAGUUCUCUGUUUGGGAUCGACAGACCAAGUCUGAUGAGCAGUGGCAUAGAGAUAAUGAGACUCAAAAAUUCCAUUUGCGAGAGAGAUAUCACUUGGCAAAGCGACAUGUUAGGCCUGUAGCUGGUGGAACCCCUAUUGUUGCAUGUUAUCAUUGCUCUGAAUUGCUUCAGCUGCCUGCAGAUUUUCUCCUCUCAGGAAGGCGGCGCCAUAAGUUAAGAUGCAAUACUUGCAGAAAGAUUAUGAAGUUUUCACUUCAGAGCAGCACGCAUCUAGUACCACACAUUGCUGAUGCUGUAGCCCCUCCUCCCAGUGUGGUCGAUGAUGACUCCAGUGGAUCCAUUCGUCAAAGGAACUGGGCAUCCACCUCUCAAUCCAAUGACGCUCCAUAUGCUGAACCUCUUUCAUGUACUGAUGAUUACGGAAUAUCCUUUGACAGAAGUUUCUCCACUGAAGGUGAGCCCUCACUAAUCACACCCCCAAUUCAUCCUGUUGAAAGAAGUUGUCGAACUAGAGACAUGUCAUCUGGUAAUUCUGUCGUGCCCUUGGAUGAUAGAAAGAUGAAGUCCACAGUGGGCGAGUGUCAGAAGCUGCACACCAACUCCGUGGAGAGCCUUGAACCAGUGGGACCUUCGCUCAAGAGAUCCAAGUGGCGAAAGUCAUCCUCAGGAAUCAGGCAACUUCCACCGUCAGGAGGAUCUCCACUGCAUCGGCUUAUGGGUUAUUCGUCGCCAAGUGCUGUUAUGAAAGUCUAACGCAUCAAUCAUUUGAAGAAGAAAACAUGAUCCAAAAGGUCACCUCAGCUUUCUGGCGAGAGAAAAAGAAGUUUGAAGCUCUUCUAGUUCUAGCUAUAUUAAGAUAAAAGGACAGUUUUGGAAGAAGAGUGUCUACUUGACUCGAAGAUUCUCGAGAUAUGCUAAACAUAUAUAGUCCAACAUCACAAGUCAUUAAACAUAUAUUGCUUGUACUGUAUAGUGAUCAGAAGGAUAGAAAUUGCCCUGGUGAUAGUGUAUAGAAUGCAGAUCAAGUGUUGUAUGUAUAGAUUCACUAUGCUGUCAAACGAUUUUUUUAUUGAUUUGUUUCGAUAAUAUUGGGUUUGCAUAAACGGCUUAAUUCUCAGACUCUCGUCACCCACGCUAGAUAGAUUUUUUUACCAACUUAUAGAGAGGCGUUUCGCAUCAAUUAUCUAUAUGUUAUUGUGUACUUGAGUGGAAACUAUGCUCUGUAUCUGGCUAUGGUAUUUCAACAAGCAUGGAGCUGUAAAAGCCAUGCAUGCAUGCAAGGAUUUUGCCAGAAGAAAGGCAUCUGCAGAUGUUCUGGUUUUGAAGGAGGCAGAGGGGAAACAGGUAUUUGGGAUUAAAAUUGGUCAAUGGUGCUGUUUCAUGUAUCGUCGGAGGAAUAGAGUAGCCAGAUCCUAGUGGAAACGAUAAUCAAAUCCUGGAAUCAUGGUGUCAAUUGUAGGUCCUGUACACAUACAAUUGUAGUAAAAUGUUGAACCCGAGAGCGGAAUCGUCGCCAAAGGUUAUUGCCUUUAAAGACCGCUGCUGUUAACCGUCAGCAGAUAUCUGUUGAAGCUUGAUUGCAUUUUUCCUCCUCGAAAUCCCAUAAGCAACAAAAGUUUCUCAAAAUAUUGGAUGUUCACAAAUAUUUCGUUGUCGUGCUUGUCUGGAUUAGUCUUUUUAUCCAAAAGAGUUGGAUGGCACAGCUUCUCAUCAUCCCAGAAUUCAUCAACGUUUGGAACUUUUUAAGCUAUUACACCCAAUGUUACCCUAGUAAAAGCACGACAUUUUGUUGAUGGUGGGAAAAGAAGCAGGCAGGCACGGUAACUACAGGCACCCAGUUGGAAGAACACAUAAACCGAGGGAUGAAGAGAAAUUUCCACCGGGAAGGACAUGGAUCUUUUGCUGUAGAUCAAACGUACAACAGACAAAUCUUUGGAACAGACCACCAUAUCGAUUGGCACAAAGUUUGGAUAUGGAAAUUAAAGUUACUGUGUUCUGAUAAGUGGCAACAUUAUAUGGGCACGGACAACCUUCUGCAUUUCACGUCUCAUGCAUCGUUACAAUUACUCAACUGAAAUUGGUCGAGGCAUCUACACCGCCAAAAAUAUUCUGUUUCAGCCAGGUUUCUUUAUGGCAAUCAGGUAUAAUUUCUUUUGUUCUAUUUGUACAACAAGCCGAUGAUUCUCUUGUAUGAUAUCUGCAAUUUAUUUUCAGUGACAAGAGAGGGGCCGCUAGUAGAUACGCCUGCUUCUUUGAUUUGGGACAAUGGUGAUCCUCUGAUCCCGAAGCAUGUCCAAAUUGGGAGCCAACAACCUAGUAUACCGGUCGAAGUAAAGAAGCUGCUUCAUUAGGAGUGCAAACUCCCGAGGAAAUCUCAAUCCAUAUGAUUCACUAACUCGAACCUAUUGGACAAAGAAAACACAAGUCAGAUACUUAGGAUUUGAGGAAGCAGGCAAGCUGAUGCAAAAGAAAUUUCUGGUAUUUAGACUUCAUUUGGUAUGUAAGCAGGCGGCGGGGGACAUUAUUUGCAUAGGUGGGAGGGUAUUUAACUACGUUACUCUUUGUCUGGUAUAAUGAAGGUAGAUGAAAGUGCAGUUAGGGAACUGAGAAAUAUACACUAAAUAAAAGGAAAUUUCUGCACUUUUUUCCCCACAAUUUUUCUCAGUUUAGAGUGAAGCACAAAGGUCAAUUUGGUUUCAUCAAAUCCAACUCCAUUCAAGGAGAAAAAAACUGGGUCAGUAGGAGUUUUUAACAACUUUCCCUUUCACUUCAGUUUUCCCCUUUAGUAUAGAAACGUUAGACAUUUUCAUCCUCUCAUUUUUUAGACGCAACACAGCACACAGUGACGUUCUAUUGGUAGGCAAGCAAAUAUCACCCACUCCAGCUCUAAAGGAGGAAGACGUCUAGCCACAUCAAUUACUCUAGCAACUACCUAAUGCCAUCUCAGUCACUAUAAGAGCGAUUGAGACCUCAUAUUCCAACUUGUAGGUUCAUCAUCUGUCUUUGUGCAAUUGGGGCCUCGUUCUGCAAGAUUUACAAGCCUAAGGCAAGUCGCUGCGCUAUGAGAUGACAGAAUUGAAGGUUGAUACUUACCAAAUCAAGAAAUAGAGCAUUCAUUUGCCUCUCAUCUACAAUUACAUUUGCAGCGACAGCUGUUGUGCUUGUAUUUGGACCCCUGGCAGUUGCAACAACAAUUUCUGUAUCCAAAUCCUGCACCAGAAUAUGGGAAACUAUAAUCAGAAAAUGAUGAUCUGAUUUGAAGUAAUAUUACAUCAAAAUCAUGACAUACUAAAUGCCUUGUAGCAUCAAUACUAGUGGAUCCUUAGCAUAGUCAUCCUUCAGAGCUAACAUCAAAGCAAAAUAUUGUCUUCACAAGUUAAAUUCUUAAAACAUAGCUCAAGUAUGCACAGCAACUAUACAGAAGAAUAGUCAUUCAGUACUCUUCAGACUAAAAAACAUGUAAUUUCUUCUCUUCUUACACAUAUGAUUCUGAUUUAACCUAAUAAACACAAUGGUAUUAUUUAUAUCAAAGUUUCAGGCUGUCCAUCAAGAUCUCGCCAUCAUGGUCCACGAGUAGUAACCUGCAUGGACUUGAGGACAAAAAUAUACUAAGCACAGAUAUACUUCUCAGGCUGCAUAGAUUUUUUUUUUUGGGGGGUUGGGGAUUUUUUUUGUUUUGUUUUUUGGGGGGUUGGGGGGGGGGGCAGGGAUUUGUGGGGGGUGUCUUACACUUUGACAAGAGACAAGUGUAGCUGUGGCCACAUGCAAUAUAUACCUGUAUUGAAGAAAAUAUCUUUUCAAGAUCUCUUGCAAAGGCCAUUGAAUCAACACCCUUGUUUGUAGCAUCCAUGUCAAUCAAGGCCGAUGCCAUUGAGUUGUAAUCUUCAGUUGCCAAUGAUUGCAAGAAUAUUUCCAUAGCAGCCCAUGUCUUUGGAGAUAUGCGCCCAACAAUUCCUGUACAGCACCAUCCAUUUUGUUUCAUGACUCAUAAGUUGCAAAGGAAAGAUGAUACAUGAUGAUUCAGGAAAGUAAUAAUUUAACUGAACAUAAGCAAAUAAGAAGGUAAAAGGUUUUCUGGGAAGAGCAGAAUUUGUGAACUAAUAACCAAGUGUGUGUAACAUUCUCAGAACUUGAAGCAAAUUUCUGAGAUAAAUUAAACAAGACGCCGUCAGGCUAAAGUAUUCUGAUUUGUGUAGGAUAAGCCUUUGUUUUAUACAACAUGAAAGACAGUUAAACAGUGGCCCAUAAACAGUAAACUGAAAAUGUGAUAACAAUCCUAUUGAUGGGCAGAUCUCCUUGCUUUUAUAACUGAUUUCUCUAGACCUUAAAACUAAAGAUAUUGAACAUUUGACCCAACACGCAGGCACGAGACACCCAUUUUUAGCAUCACCAAUGCAAAUUCUCCAGAUGAGCAUGCGGUCAAGGAGAAGAGGGGCAAGCCUGGAGGGGGAAGGGAGAGGGACAGUAGGGUUGUAUGAGCUAUAAUACAUGAAUAAAACAACUAUUGAGAAGAAAAAAGUUACAGAAGCAAUAAGAUCUUCCAAUAAUCUUAAGCCAAAAUAUUUGAAAACUUGUAUCCCCUAAAAAAAUCCAUUCAUUGCCAACAAGAGUGAGAGUCACCAAGCAUUUUAAAGAAAAAGAGGAAAGUAUGCAGGAUCAUGAAAAAUGAUAGAUGUGCAACAAAGGAGACAGAGAAACAAACAAAACUGAAAGAUGGAGAAUUCAUGUAUACCAAAGUCAAGAAACCCAAUACGACCAUCACGCAGCAACCACAAGUUGCCUGCAUGGACAUCAGCAUGAAAGGUUUCACAGGCAAGCAGACUCCCAAACCUAAAGAGUCAUGCACAACAAAACUUCAGGAUAUAAAUUUGAUACCAAAAAUAACUGACAUGUGCCAGCAGAUGAAUUACACUUGUGACAAAGUCGUACCACACAUUUAAGGCAGUAAUAAGACUGGCUUCUGGACUUGGAACAAGGGCACUGAUGGAAUCCAAAUCUGUAAGAGGGACUCCAUAAAGCCUCUCCAUUGUUAGAACUCGUCUGGUACUGUAUUGCGGGUAUACUUUUGGAGCAGUAGCCUGUCUUGUAAGACCCAUAGCCUCUAAAUAUCGUCUAAAAGACUCAAUAUUUGCAGCCUCUUUCUUAAAGUCAACCUCAUCAAGCAUUGAUUCCCUUAUAUCUUUGACAAUAGCAACCUAAAACAGAAACAUAUGUUCAAGCAUAACGAAAUGCCACUGUCCUCCUUUCACACUUAACAGGAAAAGUUAAACAAAGAAUGGAGAGAGAAAAUUUCCACUCACACACAGUUAAUGAGUUUAUGCUGGCAUAUAAUCUGUUUUCGACAGAGUUUAUGACCUCAGAAGUAAAUUAUUAGCAUACUGAAAGGCCUGUAAAAACAAAACCUUCACAUACGUAUCCCUUACAUUAUAAUUAAGCUCCUGAAAAAAGUCAAACAAUCAUCUGGAAAAAAUCAAGUUGCCAAAGGACAAAAAGUGUUGGCACAAGACAUGAUUAUAUUUUGGUUUGUAAUUAUACAUUUAGGGUGUAUUUGUAAGUCAAAGAGGUGAUUUUUGACUAUGCCAACAUUUGCAUUUAAAUACUUGACUAUUAAGAACUAUCCAAUGACUUUCUACUACAAAGGUAAGUAGUAGCUAAGUAUAUUGCAAGACGUAUGUUUUAGCAGUUUCAAGGAAAUAAGUUUUGCCCCAUUCAGUGGAAUUUUGCAAUGAUGAAAAGAUCAUACCAGAGAUGCACGGUUCAGUUCAGGACUCAAAAACUCCAAGAUGCGCGCUACAAUAUAAACAAAAUUUAGGUCUGCCACUAAUGUGUCUUCAAUUCCAGGUUUCAACACCUUUAUCACUACAUCUUCCUGUGUGCCUCUUAUCCUUGCACCAUGGACCUGAGAGUUAAAGUACACAGUUAAAAGGGUGAGUGACAGUCAAUGAUCAAGCUCUUAAGACUUUACUAUUAAAUAUUAUCAAGAUGAAGCAUGGAAAGGGAGUAGACCUGUGCUAUAGAAGCAGAGGCAAGUGGGGUAGGAUCAACAUACUCAAAGAUCGCAUCGAUUGGUUGGCCUAAUUCCUCACGCAAGAUUGCUUGAAUAUCUGCAAAAGGAACUGCAGGUACUCUGUCAAAACAGUACUGGAAUUCCUGUACGUAUUGCGGUGGGAAUAAUGUUGGUGAAGAAGCAAUGAACUACAAAAUGCAAGAAAAACAGUACAUGAGUGAUUGUAUAAUGUGGUGGAUGUAUGCAUAACUGAUUGUAUAAUUUUAAAGGUAUAGAUAAAUGAGAGAACCCAUAAAGAAAAAGCAAAUAAUAAUGGAACCACAAGUAAAUGUAUACAAAUUCAAGCAUUACAACAAAAUCAUCCUGAAAUGAAAAAGGCACAAAAAGCAAACUUCAAAAUUACAAAACAUAAAAAGAACUGGGUGAGCAUUACUAUUUACUUACUUGACCAAGUUUGAUGUAGGUUGCACCCAUUCGUUCAAAUAAUCUUCUCAAAUACAGGGGAGACAACAAUCCAAGCUGCAUCUCAGUUGGUAAUGUGGUGGAUGAGUUUGCUGUCUAGACAAAAUUACCCAGAAUUACUUUUCAAUGAAAUUCCUUGUUCAUUUACUAUGCAAAAUCCUGGGGAAAAAAUAAAGAGAAGAAGAGGGAAGAAGGGGAAGGUAAGAGAGAAGAAAGAAAGACAUCAAACCAGUUACCAGAAAAUCUAAAGAUGUAACCAAUUAUAACAAAGAUAUAGAACUGCCUGUACCUUUGACAAAUCUGCCAGCCACUCGCUUCCUACUCCAAGAACUGCUUGAAUGCCUUGAGCUAGCCUUAGGGCUCCACGUGGACCAGUGCUUAAGGAUGUCUGGACAAUAUCCUCUACCAGUUUGGGCAACUUUUCAAUGCGAUCUGUGGAAGUUCAUGCUUAAUAGCACUAUGCAACCAACUAAAGUAAGACUAAUACAAGAAUACAUUUUUAAAUAGUUGCGCACACACAUUUACAUACUUUCCCUCCCUCUCCCCAUCCCCCUUCACCACCGUGUGGAGAGACAAAAUUCUGACAGGAAAACGAACAGCGGAAGAGAAAAGGUCUAUUGAUGGGGGUUCUAAGUUAAAGAGAACUGUAUAAUAGUAGUGCCAUUUCAGCAAUAAGCAUCAAUCCAAAUACUAAAAAAUCUUAAACAGGAUUCAUUUCCUCUUCUAAUCCCUUUGUCUAAUGAACUCUGGAGUCAAAUUAAGAUACAAUUCAUACAGGAUUCUCUUAAUUGGUGUGUUUUAAAGGAAAGAAAGAAUAAGAAGGAAAAAAAAGCUCAGAAUAGAAACUAAACAGAAAUAAGAUAAAAAUAAGGCGUGUUUCUGUAUCUUAAUUUUCUUUCUUCCUUUCUUUUUUCUGAUUUGAAUUUGUGAUUCAUAUCUCGUGCGGAAGGCCAACAUUUCACCAGGUAAAAUCAACUUUGACACAAAGUACUAACACCCAACAAAAAAUCAAGCUCCUCCCAGAGCACACUUCCGUCCCAAGUCUCAACCCGGAGCCUGAAUAGGAUUGAGCAGGAAUUUCUCAGACACUCGAAAUGCACUAAAAAUUUUCACUCAAACUAAUUAUGCAUCCAGAAUCAAAAUGGGUAAAUUCCCAGAUAAAAUUAUUUUCUUGAAUUCCACUGGCAAUCUGAUUCUACAACUAAAUUAACAGAAUUAAACUUAAAUAUAGGAAUCAAAUUUUUACAUAGAGAAAACAAUAAAGUGGGGAUGCAGACAUGGAGCCAAUAUACGAUAAAAGUUUGGGCAACCUUGAACACGAGAAGUGAAAAUAUCUCGGGACUGAGAGUAUCGAGCAUAAAAGGAGGAUCUUUUAGAAAGAAAUUGAAGCUUUCUCGCUGCUGUUGAUCUGCUUCUGCUUGACACGGUUACUGGCGCUAACUGUAAUCAAGAUUUAAAAUUCUUAUUAGCAUAUGAAAUUGGACAACAUAACGUCCACCAGUAAAGAGAAAGAAAGCAUAAAUAAAACUUGGACUAAUAAGAAGAAACCUGCCGCGACUGGUGAUGAAAGAUAGACAAGCAGCCAUCAUUAACCAUCCCUCUCAUCAAUGAAACACCCGCCAUUUUUUAUUUUCCCACGUCUCCUUUCUCAGUUCACAACUUGAGCUUUGAACCCAAAUUCACUCCACCACCCCCACCAUCCACUCCACCACUAAUAUUUCCAAGUUCAAUCGUCUUGUGUACCUCAACCCUCUCUUACGCCUUUAGGAGUUUUUCUUUCUUUCUUUCUUAUUUCUUAAUAGAUUGGCUCCAGAUAUUCCUUUUUUUUUCUAAGGAGACUGACUUUGUCCCGUCCGGCCCAAUUAGCGUGCGCAUUUUCAUUACACAUGUUAACUUGACAAAUAGGAAUGCAGCCCAUUAGAAUAGGCAGAACAUACUUUUCAUCUUCUUACGGAGGUGUGACUUUCAGUUUCAGACACCGUUAAAAAUACUUAUUUGGGGGUAAAAUAUCACCAAUCUCUACAAUCAAUUUGUUGAAUCACUUAUUGGCUUUGGCCUUAAUUUAGAGAAAUGAAGUUGGAUGCAGUUUGAUAACCUCAUUCAAGACUUAAAUUUAAUGAAUUUAAUGAACUCAGAUUUUAACAUGUUCAGAUCCAUUUGAUAAUAAAAAAUUGAACAUCUCUGCCACUGAAUUUUUUAGGCAAAAUUUGCACUUAAAAUUAAGUGAUAAACUAUUUACUUAUCACUGAAUAUGAUAUACAGUCAAAUAUAUUAGAUUCAAUACUUAACAAUUUAAUAACUUAAUAAAUUUAAAGUUCAGACUUCAGAUUUCAAUUUUAUCAAGAUUUCAAUAUUAGAUUCAAUACUUAACAAUUUAAUAACUUAAUAAAUUUAAAGUUCAGACUUCAGAUUUCAAUUUUAUCAAACGCUCCAAGAUUUGUGAACCACACGUGCCUUCUUCGGGCCAACCAAUGUAAGGAUUUGUUUAAGAUUUUUUGAUACUCGGGUGACUAAAUCGGCUGAACUUAUAGAGCAUUAUGGGCCUGUUUGGCACCCUAGUUUUUUACCAAGUUUUUUAGCUACUAGUUUUUUAACAACUUUUGCUACAGGAACCCCAAAAAACUUUUCAAAGUUUUUUACCUACACAAUUCAAAAAUCUAUACACAAAAAAUUUCUCAAAAACUUUUCUUCCUCCCUCACCCAACCCACCACACAAGACACCGCCUCCACCACCUCUCCCGGCGCCGAUCACCUAUUCCGGCGCCGCCGGUAACCUCAAAAUUUUUUUUUUUUCAAUUUUUGGUCCCUCACCCUCAAAAUUUUAUUAUAUAUAUUAUAUAUUUAUAAUAUUAUAUAUUUAUAUAUUUAUUUAAACAUAUUAUAAAUAUUUUAUUUUAUUUAAAAUAUAUUUAUAUAAAUAUUAUAUACCAUAUAAAUUAAUAUUAAUAUAAAUAUGUAAUUAUACAUUUAUAUAAAUAUUAUAUAUUAUAUUUUUAAUAUAUAUAAUACAUAUUAUAUAUAUUACACAUUUAUGUAUAUAUAUUUAUGUAUAUUUAUAUACAAUUAUAUUAUGUAUUAUGUAUAACAUAAUACAUUUAUACAUAAUAUUAACACACAAUAUUAAUUAUAUAUUUAUACAUAAUACUAAUACAUUUAUACAUUUAUAUUAAUUAUAUUAAUACAUUUAUACAUAAUAUUAUAUAUUUAUAUAUUUAUAAUAUAUUAAUUAAUAUAUUUAUAUAAUAUUCAUUUAUAAUAAUAUACAAUUAUUACAUUUGUAAAUAUAUUUAUAUUAUGUAUUAUAUAUAAUACAUUUAUAAUAUUUAUAAUAUAAUACAUUUAUAUUGUAAAUAUAUUAUAUAUUAUGUAUUAUAUUAUGUAUUUAUAUUUGUAAAUAUAUUUAUAAUAUAAUACAUUUAUAUAUUUUUAUAUAACUAUAUAAAUAUAUUUAUUUAUAAAUGUAUUAUAAAUGCAUAAAUAUAUAUAAAUAUUUAAACAAUAAAAAUUAUAAAUUAUAAACAAUAUUAAUUAUACAUUUAUACAUAAUAUUAAUACAUUUAUACAUUUAUAUUAAUUAUAUUAAUAUAGUUAUACAUAAUCAUCAUAUAUAUUUAUAAAUUAUAGUUUAUACAUUUAUAUAAUAUUCAUUUAUAAUAUAUACAUUUAUACAUUUAUAAAUAUAUGUAUAUUAUGUAUUAUAUAUAAUAUAAUACAUUUAUAUAUUUUUAUAUAAAUAUAUUUAUUUAUAAAUACUUAUAAAUGUAUUAUGAAUGCAUAAAUGCAUAUAAAUAUUUAAACAAUAAAAAUUAUAAAUUAUAAACAAUAUUAAUUAUACAUUUAUACAUAAUAUUAAUACAUUUAUACAUUUAUAUUAAUUAUAUUAAUACAUUUAUACAUAAUCAUGAUAUACAUUUCUAAAUUAUAAUUUAUACAUUUAUAUAAUAUUCAUUUAUAGUUUAUACAUUUAUAUUAAUUAUACAUUUAUACAUUUAUACAUUUAUAAAUAUAUGUAUAUUACGUAUUAUAUAUAAUAUAAUACAUUUAUAUAUUUUUAUAUAAAUAUAUAAAUAUAUUUAUUUCUAAAUAUUUAUAAAUGUAUUAUAAAUGCAUAAAUGUUUAAAAAUAUAAAAAUAUAAAAAUUAUAAAUUAUAAAAUACUCAAAAAUAUGUUUUAAAAAUACUUCUAAAAAUAAUCCAAAAAACGUCUACAGUAACAUUUCAAAAACUUCUACAAAAAAGUUUUUCACCUUACAAAAAUUUCUACAAAAUUUUUUCAAAAACUUCUACAGUGCACUACAGUAAAAUUUUAGACAAAUUCUCAAAAAACUCAAGUUCCAAACAGGCCCUAUAUUUUGUCGCGAGGAGCUUGCUAUUUUUAAAAAGCAGGCUAAUUUUAUUGUAGCAGUUCAAUGGUACAAGAAGAAGAAAAUAGCUUAUUUUCAAGAAAAUUGGAAUGAAAAGACCGCUUCAGAUUUCUUUGUAUUUUACCUCAUUUUUCCUCCGCUUACAUGUACACCAUUCAUUUUUUUGACUGUCACGCAGAGACGUACAAGAAACAGCAGAUGACUAGCUAGAAUCCCACAGUAGCCUUUCAUGAACUGCAAAUAAUCCUCACUUGAUAGAGGGCGCAACACCUCAAAGAUUAUCCUACCAUGAUGGUACACCACAAAAUGAGUCCAAUUUUAACCAUAAUGUAUGAUGAUUUACUGCCGUCUUAAAGUCUCAAAUGUGGGAAAGUAAGCCCUAAAACAUAUAGCAGACAUUGCAAAAUUUCGCAUUGCUCUGAACUUGGUGAAGCUUCAACCAUGAAGCAGCAUCACAGGACAGAAGUACGUCUUUCUUCUAUUCUUACAAGAAGUUUUCCGGUCAUCUCUUGAGAUCCAUGCAUAAUAAAUAGGAAAAAGUAUGCAUCAGGCCUCGGAAUCAGGAUCUGAAGCUGACUCUGUAUCUGAAUGUGAUUGGAAAGGUCUCAAUCUGUUUGUAUUGGCUUCUAAAGGUGGAAGUCCAUCAUCAUCACUUGAAUUGUCAUUCUCCUCCAUAUUUGAAGUGUGCGACUGCAAAUCCUGCUUCGAAUUUCCUAAAGUUGCUGCUUUAAAUACUUCUGGCCUGCACAGUUACAAGCAAUAAUCACCAAGCAUAAUAAUUACAUAAGCAUCAAGAUCCUUCUUAUUGAGCGUGCAUGUGAGCAGGCGCGUGAAUGUUGUACCCAGAAAGUCAGUUUAGCCCUCAGGUUCCGAGCAGGAGGGGUGGCCUUAAAGAUGUAAUCAAACAAAUAACAGCAGCCCUUCCAGGAUUACAUACUAAGAAAGUUGGAGCUAGAACACCAUGGUGCAUCUAUUUACACUACUAAGCUCCUAAUCAGGAGCACUUUUAUCCAGCCAUAGAAACUACAACUAAUUUGAUAAUACUCAGAAUAAACUGGCUUAAACCCCCCACCCCCCCAACACAAAAAAAAAGGAACGUGAAACAAUCACAUCAAAGAUAUUGAUCUCUAACUUUGUCACCUUUGCCACACCUCCUGGAAGUUUGGUAUAAAUGUCCACGAGGCAGAUAUUCAUAGGAACAGAAGUCCCUUGCUAUUAAGUAAUAUCUCCAGCCAGUAUUGAAAAAACAAAUCAUUAGGUUCUCAGACUAUUUUAGAAAUUUAUCUUGCAAAGGCAUGGCGCAAAACAUUAAAAAACAAGAGAAAACAAAACAAACAUAAACUCAAACUACGCACCAUUCAGGAGAUUUUUGGAGCACUCGUACUCGUUCAUAAAAGAGCACUUGUAUAACAACGCAACCUACUUUCCGACCAAAUUCAGCUGCUUCCUCCCUUCCAGUCUCGUCAACCACCACAAAGUUCCCUAUAUAUCAAUUUUUCACGCAAAAGAAAAUAAGAACUUGAUCAAAGUCUCAACUUUAAUCAUGCUAGAAAUCCCCACUUCAAAGGAAAAUUUAAAAGAACAAACCUCGUUUUAUCCACAUGCUCUUUUGAAAUUUUGCUGGAAAUAUAGCUAACGAUCUUUCCCCUUUUGCAUCCAUUACCUUUUGAUACAUUCAAAACUGAAUUAACAACCACUAAAUAUCUAUUAAUCUGCAAAAAUCACUAACCUAUAGUUACAUCACUCAUAGAAGCUUCAUUGUCAAGCCUUACUACAUGAAAAACUUCGGCUAUGCCCAUCUGUAGAUGUAUGGUUCGUACGGUUCGGUACAGGUGGGACAAUGCUUGUGAUCAAUUCUAAUCGGAACAAUUUUCAGAGUACAGCAGUAUGCGAUGCUGCUUCUGUUAUGAAUGACGCAACUAAAACAAAUUAUCCAACUUGUUAAUUAAAUGUGGCCCUGAAUGUAAAGGACAUAUUACCUCAAUAAGAUUGGAGCCCCGCAGGUCCACAACUUGCAUGAUGCUUUGCCCUUGUUGAAGCGUUAAGGUCUCUUCCUCAACAGCCCUCUUCAAAUUUUUCCGUCCACCUCCCAUGACCUUUCUUCACUCUAUUACUUUCUCAAGCUGAAACCAACAGGACCAAAACCACAUGCAAGCAGAAGCAAUUCCUCAAAUGCCAGUCUUUCAGCAAGCCUUCAUCAAUUCCACAGUUCUGGAGAGGCAAGACUCGUAUUUAAAACACCCUGAAAUGUGAACAACAACCAAUUUUUAGCAAAAUGGAAAAAUAAAUUGUUUAUAUGCAAAAUGGAAACAAAUGAGAAAAAAAGAAGGUUAUAAAAUGUUACACAAAAAUAAUCACCAAGUUUUUAGCCAAAGAUAUUGUGCUAAAAUUUGAAUAGACUGUGAAUUCAAAACAACCAAAAAAUACACCAAGCAAUUUUCCCAUACAUAAUAGAAAAUUACAUAAGUUAGUAUAGAUGUCGUAGAAGGUCGGAAAAAAAAAAGACAAAUAAGUAUCACGAGAACUAUUAAAAAUGCGUGCAAAAAAUAAAAGAUAAUAGUGAAAACCCGAGAUCUGGAAGAAUGAAACUCAAAGAAGCAAAAUGACAUACAAUUUUUCUUGGUAAUGAUCUUCUCUUGACAGCCUCUGUCUCCUAAGAAAGCAUGAACAGAAAAUCAGGCAUAGUAUAUGUGAAAUUUUAGAUGGUAACUAAGAGAAAACGUUGAGGAAAAAAAUCAAGAAAUAUUGAAAGGAAAUAAAUCUAAGAGGCAAUAAAGAACCUGAAGUUUGGAGUUAGAUUCUUCAAACGUCCUUGUUUUUGGAUUCAAUUCUUUCAACCGUACUCUUUGUUCGGGAGAGCGAGGAGGGAUUGACGAGAGAAGCAGACGGCGGCCCUGUGAAAUUUGGAGAAGAAGAUGUUGCGAUGGGGUUUCUGGUAGGGGUGAGCAUUCGGUGCAAAUGCGGUAAAUCAGUGCGCUGAAUUCGGUUUUUUCGGUUAUCGCACCUAUAGAAAUCUAAACCAUUUUCAAUUUCGAAUUGGGCAUUACUGAAUUCAUGCGGUACCCGAUUUCAAAUUCGAAAACGGUAAUGAAUUCGGUCUAACCGAAUUCAUCUAUUAUUUAAAAAAAAACCUGAAGCAAAUUAAGAGAAUAUAUAAAACCAAUCUUUAUAGUUCAGCAACUACCAACCCCCGCAAGCCAUUAGAUGUUUCUCUUUUACACAUUGCAGAAAAUUCAUAUCCAGAAUCCUAGGUACAACUUCUGGAGCCGUACUUUCACUAGAUGUGCACCAGAGAUUGAGAAUCUCCACGGACAAGGAGGUAAAAUUUUCAUUUUAACAAGUUUUUUCCUUUUUAAUUUUUCUAACAGGUAAAAGGUGGAAUUUUUCCCAAAGGCCUUAACUUUUAAAGGCUGCACAACUGGAGAGAGCUUCUUGUGUAUAAAAUACAAAGCUUAUGUUAUAUCACACCUAAUCUAAACUACUACAACAGUUAGAGUUUGCAAUUGGAAGCUCAGAUUUCGUCCCCUUAUCAAUUCAGGAUAACAAAUUUCCUAGUCGAUCUUGGCCCAUUUUAAUGCCAGAGACACAGAGCCAAAAACAGAGGAGCACUUACCUAAGUGAGCCAGAGAUGAGCAGUGAUGAACCAGCGAUGAACUAGUGAGAUCUUGGUGCUUCGUCUUCGACACUCGGCAGAGAUGAACCAGCACGGCAGGACACAGCCGACACGAGACGUAGAGCGCGGCGGACUGGCGGAGGCCGGAGAGGCAGAGAGCAGCUUCGAUUUGGGAAUUGGGACUUGGGACUUGGGACUUGGGAGUGUUAGUGCUGUGAAAGCCCUACGUGAUGGCAGUCACGGCACUAUGCAAUAUUGCAAAUUUGCAAUGGUUGUUUUCUCACUUUUCAAUUUUCAUUGGCUGAAGAUGAAAUCCGACUUUUCCCAAAUGAAGUGAUUUUGUAAUUUUUAAUUUACAAAUUGGGGCUCCUAAAUUAUAAUACAUUCAUUAUGCUCCUCAAUGAUUUAAAAAUUAUUACUGAUUUGAUCCCCAAAUUUAUUCAUAAUUGAACACAUUACUUAUGUUCAAAUCAUUUUGUGGUUUAAUUGGCAUUUAUUUGAUCACUUAUACCUAAAAUCCUUGGUAUAUGAUUUAAGAAACACAUAAAAAGUGAUUAAUUUAAACUAAUUUAGUUAGUUGUUACAAUGAAUUUAUAAUUUACAAUGAUUAAUAAUAAGUAAUAUUAGUUACAAACUUACAAAUUAUAAUGAAUCAAUGAUUAAUGAUAAGUUACAUUAAUUACAAACUUAUAAUUUAUUUCAAAUCAAAAUAAAACUUAUUUACUUGAUUUGCAACUCACAUGUAUUUACUUACACUGCUUAGUUAUUUUGUCUAUACUUAAAGCCUUAAGAUAAGUAAAUAGAUAAUAUGAACUUUUAACUUAUUUGAUCACUUAUACCUACAAUCCUUAGUCUAUGAUUUAAGGAACACAUAAAAAGUGAUUAAUUUAAAUUAGAAUAAACCUUAGACUGUACAAUGGUUAGUAAUAAUUUAUGAAUUUAUAAUUUACAAUGAUUAAUAAUAAGUAAUAUUAGUUACAAACUUACAAAUUACAAUGAUUAGUGAUAAGUUAUGUUAGUUACAAACUUAUAAUUUAUUUCAAAUCAAAAUUAAACUUAUUUAUUUACAUAUGUUAUUGUGAAAGUCAAUACACUAAUACAUUGGUUUGCAAUUCAUAUACAUUCACUCACACUGCUUAGUUGUCUUAUCUAUACUUAAGGCCUUAAGAUUAGUGAAUAUGUAAUGUAAAUUUAGAGUACACUAAUACUUGCAAAUUAUAAAUUAUGCAUUUAAAUAUUCAAUAAUUCAAACAUGAAUGAUGUAUCAAAUUACCAAUAUCUAAAUUCUAAUUACUAAUUAUGUUUAUUGUUUAAUAUUUAGUAUUAUACAAAUAUGUAUUAAUUAUUAUCUAAUUCUAGUCAUGUUACUCAUGUGUAAAAUAAUAAGUAUUAUAGUUAUCUUAUAUUGUAAUGUAUUACUAUGCAUUAUUGUAGUCAUAUAACAAUUAAUAAAUACUAAAAUAAUAUAAAUAUAUUGUACAUUAUUAUAUAUUAUUAGUAUUAUAAGUACAUGAUAUGAUGAUAAUACCAUAUACUAAUUAUUAUUAAUAGCAUUUACCUAUAUAAUAUAAUAAAGUAUUAGUAGUAUACACUAAUACUAAUAUAUUAUAUAAUUUUAUAUACCAAUUUGGUAAUUUGAAUGCGAUAAUGCGAUACCCGAUUUCAAUUACCGAAUUUGAAUGCGAAAUCGGUUAUUACCUAAUUCAUAAUCUCAUUACCUAUUUCAUACCAUAUUAGAAUUCGGUGAAUUUGGUACGUACCGAAUUACCAAAUAUCCGAUUUCAAAUUACCGAAUUGAAUUUGAAAUCGGUUAUGAAUUCGGUAAGAACCGAAUUUGCUCACCCCUAGUUUCUGGUCACUGCUACAUGGGCCUAGUAAUUGGGAUAGGUAGAUAAGGAGGUGAAAUCUCAUUUCUGUCCUCAAUUCAAUUCACCAAUUCAAUCAAUUGCAGGAUGACUACCAUCAAUUGACCAAUAAGAAUGUGCCACAUCAGCAAUUGAAACUCAAUUGAAACAUCUUGCAUUUGCGCGUAGACUGGAUAUGUUAAUAAAACUAUAGAGUAGUAUUUAUUUACUGUUUAUUUCUUUAUUUUUGAGCAAGGGAAAUGCUUAUAACUUUUUUUUUUUUGGAAAAGGGAGAUUAGGGAAAUGCUUUUAACUUGUUUUUUUUUUUUUAAGUGAAAAGUCCGUUGAAUAAAUCAAACUUCGUCCUUUUGGAUUGACCUUUUUUCAAAAACAAAUUUUUCAAAUACAAUACUACAGUAAUAUAUAAUAACUCCAAAAGCAUUUCAUUCAUAUAAUAUAUCAAAUAUUUUAAAAAGUUCUCAUAGUAAAAAUUUUUUAUAUACAUUACUAUAGUAAAAUUUUUCAAAAGCACCCCUAAAAAUAACUAUUCCAAACGGUUGGAAUCAACUAUUUUUUGGAUUGUUUUUAAAAUAUUUUACUUUAAUAGUGUAUAUGAAAAUUUUUUUACUUUAGAUAUUUUUUGGUGGUAUUUUUAAAAUAUAUUUUGAAGUUUUUAAAAGUUUAAAAUUUUGUGUGAUAUUUUUUUUAAAUUACCAACACCAUCCCCUCUCUCUCUUUCUUCCUCCUCAUCCCUUGCUCUUCCAUCAUCCUCCUCCCAUUCUUCAUUUUUCUUCCUUUAUUUAUCCAUUUUCGCACCACUGGUCACCCCUUCCCUUCCCCCCUCCUCAUAUCUGGUCGAGAUCGAUCGAGACCUCUGGUCACGACAAUGUGACCAGAUUAUAGCCUAUGGUCGAGGCCAGAUCUAGGAAGGAAGAGGAGAGGUGAGAUGUGGCAGGAAAAAGGAGAAUGGGAAGAGGAAGAGGGAGGGAAAAAAAAGAGAAGAAAGGGGAAAAUGGUAGCGAUAGUGAGUAGGAAUAGUGGUGGUGGAUAGUAGUGAUAGAUAGAAAAAAAAAGUGUAAAGUUUAUUUUUAUUUUUUUAUAUAUUUGAAGUUAUUUUUGAUAUAUUGUAUAGAUAUGUUGUGUUUGAAAUUAUUUUUUAUUUGCGGAUAUACUGUAAUUUUAUAUAUAAAAAUUUUGUUUUUCAAAAUAUAAGAAAUCAAAACGAAAGGUUGCCUUUUAUUGUUAUAUUGUUAUUGCUCCGUUUCCAUUUUUUUUUUCAUUUGUUACUACUUGAAUCAAAAUCAUGAAAUGGACUUAUUUAUAAGGAUAAUUAUAAUUGAUCUCCUAACGGAUACCUUAAUUAUCUAUUUAUUCCUUAACUUUUAUUUGUAUUAGUUAACUCUUUGCAUGAUCAAACUAUCCCUCUAUUAUGUUUAUUUUUUCUUUUUUUUUCCAAAAUAUUUUUCUGCUUUCAAUUCCUUGUUUAAAAAAAAAAAAAUUCCUUUGUCCAUCUGUUUUCUUUUUCAAAAUGUUUUUGUAAACGAAUUGAAUUUUUAUUCUAUUAUUUUUAAAUUAUAGAGUUUCUAAACUAACGUGUGUCUCUUUUAUUUAUUACUAUAAUCCAUGCUACACAAAAAGGUUUGGAUAUGAUUAUCUGAUUUACAAUAUAUAUAUGUAUAUAUAUAUAUAUUCUUUCAUUAUAAAUUAGUUUCAUGUGUUUUUUAAUCUAAAAAAUUUUAUUCCAUAUCCUUAUAAUUAGAUAAUUGAAUAUAAAGUACUCAUUUUUUACAAUCACGUUCAUAUGUUAUCUGGAGACAUUUAUGUUGCUUUUCCCUCUAAUACUUUUGUGUAUUAGAUUAAUUUCUUUACCACUUUUUAUAAGUAUUCAAAAAUUUAGUAUAUUUUCUAUAAAUCUACUUCUCUGUUGUGAUUGUAGACAAAGAAAAUUUCAGUGAUACUUUAUCACCAUGAAUUAGAGUGGUCAAAGUUAGCUCAUAGGUUAAAAUUGAUUAGGAAAAGAAUGAAGGAAAAAAAAAAAGAAAAGAAAAUUAAGAACUAAACAUCUCGCAGGCUCCAGCGACCAAUAAGAAAGAAAAAAGGGAAGAAAAGUGAGAAUCAUUAGUGUAAUGUAAGGAGAUUAAUGGUUAGGUAACCCUUGCUUAUGUUCGUAUUUAUUUAUUUAUAGUUACCUCCACUUCUUCCAACAGGCAGAGUGAGAUUCUUCGGAACCUCACCUUCCCUCACCACUGACCAUUCCUUUCCCACCAAAAAAUUUUUGUCAGCAACAUAACACUAUGACGCUAGCCCUGCUCAGUCUACAGGCUUCGGAUUUCCAGUUUUAAGCAGAAAAAUCUUUAGGCCUUCAGUUGGAACUUUUCUUCAUAUAAGAAGGCUCACGCACUUGAAUGCUCUGUUACCUUACCACCAUAUCUCAGGUUUUCCUAUCUGGUUGUUUUGUCUGCCGAACUUGGGGUUUUUGUUGGAGCAACAAGAAGAAUAAUGGGUCGAAGGAAGCAAUUUCGACCACGUCGAGCGGUAGGGUUGCAGCAGGGACAAACCUCCCAAGCAGCAGAAUUGGAUGACGUCACUGAAACUACUGGUAUUAAACCUGAGGAGCAGGACGAAUUGAUCGAUAUCGGUGUUGACAAGCCAUAUUUUGUUCAAGUGGAUACUAGGGCUAGUUGGGAUACGGCCAGCCAGCAUUUUGAUAUUUCAGAAAUUGUUUUAUCAAAUUUGGAAUUAAAUCGAGAAUUCUACGGGUCUGCUUUGAACGAGGAAGAAUUUUAUGGAGAUUCUUCGAGGUUUUUGUUGAGAUUUAGUUUGCGCAAUGUAGAUGGGUAUCUUAAUCGAAUGAAAUUGGGGCAUUGGCCUGAAUUAUCUGCCUCUAGCAUUUAUUUACAAUUUGUGGUGAGACGUGCGACCGAGGGAAUGGAGAGCAAUGCUGUCAUGGUGUCCGGGAAUUUUGACGGCCCAGAUGAGGCUGUUUCGGGUCUUGUUCAUUUAGUUAGCUUGAAUUUCUUGACUUUGAGGCCUAUUUUGAAGUUUACAUUAUCGGAAGAUUUGCAGUCUGUGAGGAUGAGGGUUGAGAUUCUGAGAAGGGCAUUCGAUGCUUGUGAUUCACUUCUUGAUACUACGAGGCAACUUUGGAAGAAGAGUAUGAUGAAUGUCAUGGCUUGGCUGCGUCCUGAGGUCUUGACUUCUGAGGCUAGAUAUGGAUUUAGUCCUGCACCAAGUGGGAAGAGCAUUGAUUCAAAUGCAGAUGCAGGAGAUAACUCCGCUUCUUCAAGAAAGAAUCCAACACGUUUUGAUGUUGCCGGUUUUUAUGAAGCUAUUAAGCCAUCAAAGUGAGUAACGAUUGUAAAUUUUUGAACUUUACAAGUAUAUCUAAUUACUACAUUUUUUCAGGUGUCUGAAAGUUAUGGAACUUUAUGUGUAAUUAACGCCUGAUUUGCACAAAUGGUUUGCUAUAGGGAGGAACCUAUGCUGGAUGUUCAAUUGCCUAACUUGCUUCCCGAACUUAGACCGUACCAAUGUCGUGCAGCUCACUGGAUGAUUCAGCGUGAGAAAGGAGUUUCUGAUUGUUCUGGGAGUGGAAAAGAUCAGUUUGUUAACCCCCUUUGUAUGCCUUUGAAUCUAAUCGAAGCAUCUGCAACAUUGUACUACAAUCCGUUUUGGUAUACUUCUUUCUCUACUUCAUCACAUGCAAAUACACGUGUAUUUAUUCAAGGAAUUAUCAACUGUUUGUGGUUGAAUACAACAUUAUGCAUAUGACAGAGAAUGACAGUGGUCAAGAAUCAAUUCAAAAAUUCUUCAGGAAUUAGACCAAAAAGUAGACUGCACUUGAAAAUCUGCAGACGUCAUGAUAUCUAUAGAAAACUCUUAUAUAUCUCUGUCUUGCUGUGUUUUGGCUCUUCAGUCAUGAAAUUCAAUUAUUGUGAUGUUUUGUUAAUUGGUUUUGUUUCAGUGGAAACAUCUCCUUGCGUCCAGAGUAUCUGUCUUCUUAUGUUUCUGGCGGUAUUCUCGCUGGUAUGUCACUUUCUUUGUCAUUUGUACAAAUAAACGUCUUUUUUUUUUUCCUUUCCCUUUUGGUUGGCAUCAUUAUUUUCCAUUUUGGUUGGCAUUAUUAUUUUUGUAAAACAUGUAAUGGAUUCAUAAUAUAGAACAGGGACUCUUUUUCGCUAAAUUCUCCUGCUUUUCGUUGCUCUAGUUGUGACAACAUAACUUUUAUUUUGAAUAUAAAGAUGAGAUAGACUAAUGUGGUUUUGGCUGCUUGUACUACAUUUAAUCACCAAAUUGCAGAUGAGAUGGGCCUGGGGAAAACUGUUGAGCUGCUUUCUUGUGUCUUUGCUCACCGCAUGUUGUCAUCUGAGGUUUUGGGUUUGCCACAUAGUGUAAUGCAAGAUGAUGGACAGAAAAGAAUCAAUCUCCGACGACUGAAAAGGGAGCGGGUUGAAUGCAUAUGUGGUGCUUUGACUGAAAGCAUUAAGUACAAAGGAUUGUGGGUGCAGUGUGAUGUGUGUGAUGCUUGGCAACAUGCUAAUUGUGUAGGUUUUUCUGCUAAAAGGAAAAUGCCAGUAUCCACAAAUACUUCAGAAGAACAAGAAUUUAGCAAACAUUCAACUGGAAACUACCAAAAGUUUAGUAGAAGGAAACACAACACCAAGAUAGUUGUCAUGGAAGGAGUUCAUAUUUGCAGUCUUUGUUCAGAAUUGAUCCAAGCUACUGAAUCUCCAGUAUCCACAGGGGCAACUCUUAUAGUAUGUCCUACACCCAUAUUGUCCCAGUGGCAUGCUGAAAUAAUUCGGUAUUUUUCAUAUCUUAUGUUUUCUUGUCCCAUGGUUUUGCUUAAGUAAACAACAUUUUCUUCACGAAUUUUCUUAUUGUUUUUGUGGGGUGGGGAUUUGGGGACUGAGGGGAAGUGUCUGGAGGUUGGAGGCUGGAUAAGGGUGCUUUUUGCUUGUUAGAGGCAUUCAUCUGGGAAAGCCCCUGAAGGGGCAAGACUUAUGCAGCAGCACAUUGUCAGUAGGAGGGCUUCUGUUCAUUCAGUUGCCUUCUAGGACAUUAUACUGCAGGAAAAGAAAAUAAUUUGCACUGCGUACACAGAUAUGUGCAAGUCAACAAGAUCUUCACUAAGAAAAUAGCUACUCUUGUUAGUUGGUCAUCAGAUAGGAAGAAAAAUUACAAUUUUAUCUAUCAUGCGGCUUUCUAAGACUUUAAUUUGGAAGAGGUUUUGCCAUUUAUGUCGAUUUAAUUGUGGUCUUAAGUUUUCUGAUUCCCAAUUGUGGCAAACAUGUUAGGAAUGCAAGACAAGGAAACAGUAUAUUAUGCUUGCAAACAACAAAAUUGUGCACAUGCAUUGUACUGGUUGUAAUUGACUUGCUUUCUAAUAUGAACCUCUUAGGCAUAGAUUGUUCUAGGAUGUAGUAUUAUCAUAUGGGCUGGGAUCUGCCUAAUGUAACUUCUAGCAAGGACAAAAAGAGAGUCUUUCUUUGUAGCAACUUUCUCAAAAAUAGGAAUUUCUUUUGCUUCAACUUGUCUUCCAUAGUAACGCAUGCUCAUCAUGUAAGCUGUUUGCUUAGUGAAAUAUCUUUUUUUUUGCUGAUGUAUAAUUCCAAAACAUUCAUUUUCUUCCUCUUUCCUCUUCCUUCCUCUCUAACAUUUGUUUACAUGUUUUACACCACAGUCACACGACUCCUGGUUCCCUUAAAAUUUGUCUUUACGAUGGUGUUAAGGACACUUCGUGUUCAGAUACACCUGCCGUGGACAUAAAUGAGCUUGUGAAUGCUGAUAUUGUCUUGACAACCUAUGAUGUACUUAAGGAGGACUUAUCGCACGACUCCGAUAGGCAUGAAGGUGAUCGUCGCUCUAUGAGAUUUGAGAAGAGGUAGCACUAGACUUUCGGUUUUCAUGUUUUAUUAGAAGUAUCUAGAGUGAAGUCAUCUUGAAAUGGAAAUUGUUCUCACUAAAUGUUUGUUGCUGGUUGUUGACCUUAAUUUUUGAUAUUUAUUUCUCUUAUGGGCCCCUUGGGUUUUUGUUUCUAUAGUGAAGUUUCUUGUGCUUUUCUUGUUUGCCCAAAAGAAGCUCUCAUGAUUAAGCAAAUUUAUUGUCAAAUUUAUCUGCUUUUUGGCCCACAUGAUUAUCUCUACAAAUUAUUAUUCUGUUCAGCUUCAAAGAUCUUGUGAGUUUUGAAUAGCAUUAUUGCAAUAUUCACUUCUCUCUCUGUCUCUUGCUGACUGAUUUUUUAGGAACCAUUUUUCAUUUUUAAGUCAACUUCUGGACUGAUAUAAAAGAUAGCACCACUUUGUCUGCGCAAAAAUGUGUGCAUGAGUCUUGCCUGAUAGUAUUCCCAACUUAUUGGACAUUGAAAUUCAAGUGAGAAUUGACCCAGUGGACGUAAACUGAAAGAACUACAUUUGGUUUGCUUCUGCAACUUUUAAUAAAGGAGGAAUGGAUUCUUACUGGGGAAAAGUGUUUCAUCAUAUGAUCAACGGUUUCAAAUUAAAUAGCAAGGGGACUAAUCUAUUCCACUUAUGGUUCUGUAGUUUGAGGUUCUGUAUAUAAUAGCAACACCAGGAUUUUUUUGGAUUUGUUCUUGUUUUCCUAUGAUGAAAAGGGCAACUUUGCUAUAUGUCUGCACCCAAAGAUGCAUUUCUGAGAACAUGAUUCAUGAUGUUCUUUCUCCAACUCCAGUAGUUGAAGUUGGAAGAACUUUAUGGCAUAAUCUGUCUUCCUGUUUAAGAAUAAUUUAGGACAACCAAAAUUCACCCCAAGUCAAUGUGUCCCAUAUAGAGGGGGACCUCAGCAUUCUCUUGAAGCUAUGAGAAAAGUUGAUCUCUGUCAUGACUUGAAAGAAAAUUUGAAGUUCCUCUUUUGUGGGUUUGGUUGCUUAAUAAACAAGAGCAGGGUAGAUGUGAAGACUUAUGCACUUAUUGCAUUUAAUUCCACUUGAGAAAUGAAUCUCUUAGAUUUUUGUUUAACCAUGUUCGUACAUCUAAUUGAAUGAAGAGCACACAUUUUUUUGGACAUUGUUCAAGACCCUCAACCAUGUCACCUAGUUUUUAGUUUUUAGUUCGAUGUUGUGAAACAGGGCUCAGAUGUUGUGGCAGCUUCAUAUGUUAGGUCUGAUUAAAUCUAAGGUCUCAAGGAUUUUAACAAACACAGAAAACUAGAGUAUAAAGAAUUUCACUGUGUAGUUCUGGAGCAAAAGGUUAACUGCGUCCAAGCUGGCAGAAUGUCAGUUUUGGAUUAAAUUUCAUGCCUGAAAUUCUCCUAGAAGCUGAAACAAGUGAAAAGAGUACUCUAUAGGUUAUUCUUGAAUCUCUGAUGGGUCACAGCUGAAUCUCUACGGUUUCAUGUUUAGGCUUUGGGAGACACUAGUUUAAGCAUGCCUUCAUCAAUUGAUUUCUGAAACAGUUUCAUAUUGAUUGCAGGAAGACUAUGGAUGCUUCCUGUGUUGCUGAGUUCUCUAUAAUCUAUUGGUGACUAAGGUAUAACAAGUUGGUAAUCUUGCUAAACCAUAAUUGACAAUUUUUUGAUACAAUAGGAGACUUAGUACAACAAAUUAUAGGAGGAAAAUGUCCAAACUUUAUUGCAUUAGUGGAUAGAGUAACUUGUAUGAGGAAAAUUUGCUUCCCCUGGGUUUGGUUGACUUAAGUUUCCCUUUUUUCCCUUCGCUCAGGGUUCCCCUGCAGGAGGGGGAUGGGUUCCGUAUAACCAGACCCAAAAAUCACAUCUUGUGUUUACAUGGUUCAUAAGACACCCCUCUAUUAGAACUCUUAUCUGUAUGUUUUCUCUUUUGCAUUUAAGUAAUUAAGCACUUGGCAAUAUAUGCACCUAUUUAGAUAGUAAGAGAAGUUAUUUCCUUUCUGAAAUUCUCAAGAUUACAUCUGGCAGUCAUAUGCAUGUUAAUGCCGAUGAUUGCUGAUUUUUCAUGUUCUUCUCUGCAUGAGUAUUCGUUUACAUGUUAAUUGCUGAGGGCUCUAUCAUAUGUUUGGAGGUUCAGAAAAUAAUCUCCCAGGAAGAGAUGUUUUGAACAUCUCUACGAUUCAAUGAUGUAUCAUUAGCAUUUGCAUUGAGAAAGGAGCAGCGAAGUAUCUGGAUAAUUGCAAUUGUGAUUUAUUGCCGGGAUAAACCCCAAAAUGCAUGGGUAACAUCUGAAAGAGAUUACAGUAAUAACUCAGGAUUGCAACAAUCAAAUAUGGCUUGCAAUAUUUACUAAUUACUACCUUUUCCAGAAGUCUUUGAAGGUCUAACCAUUGAAUUAUUCAUGUGGACAAACGGAAACCCCUUUGCUCAGAUUGCAAGUCCAAAAUUUUUGCCAGACUCAACUAUGGCUUAGUCAUUCUACAAGUUUCAAGUAUCUAUUGAUCUUGUUAUCUUUGGGUUAUUUAAGUCGUGCUUCAUGGAUCUACAGUUUUAUCUCAAGGAUAUCAUUUUAUAUCAAAUUUUUUUGCAAAAUUAUUGGAAACCUUAUUUUACUGCAUAUUCUUGCAUUUAUAUUACAAACAAAGAUUGAAAUAUUUUUCAUUUCCUUGGUUUUCAAAACUGCAGAUACCCAGUUGUCCCAACUCUCCUGACUAGAAUACUAUGGUGGAGAGUAUGUUUGGAUGAAGCUCAGAUGGUCGAGAGUAAUGCUGCUGCAGCAACAGAAAUGGCACUAAGGCUACAUGCCAAGCACCGGUGGUGUAUUACAGGGACUCCCAUACAGAGAAAGCUUGAUGACUUAUACGGGCUUUUGAAAUUCCUCAGAGCAUGCCCUUUUGAUGUUUUUAGGUGGUGGGCUGAAGUCAUACGUGAUCCCUAUGAGGUAUAUCAGCGCCUCUGCUGUAGUCGCCUCUGCUGUAGUGAAUUUAAAUCUUUCACCUACGACUUUUAAGAAACUUGCAAUCUUUAGAUUCUGGCAAAGAUUCCGGCUUUACAAUCUUGGAAAGUUGCUGAUGUGCUGAAUACCAUAUUUUUUCUUCUUUCAUCUUCUUAGAGACAAAAGAGACAUAAAAAGGGAAAAAUGGUGUUUUCUUAUAACAAUUCUUAGGAUCUUCUAGUAAAUCUAAUGAGGAUAUAACAUAUUGAGUCUUUUUUAUAUAUCUAUUUUUUUAUAAGGGAGACGUAGUGAUGUUUUGGUUCAUUGAAACUGUGAUUUAAUCUCCCAUAUACGGAUAUACCUUAAGUUUCUCAGUUAACCCUUACAUUAUCAGUUCUAAUUGUUGACCGCAAAUGUCCGUACUCAUUCAUGCAGAAUUAGUAGUCAUGUUCUCCUUCCCUUUCCUCUUAUGUGAGAGGUUCUCAAUUUGCAGGCAGGGGAUGCAGGAGCUAUGAUGUUUGCACACAGUUUUUUGACAAAGAUAAUGUGGCGCUCUUCAAAAGUGCGUGUUGCAGAAGAGCUACAUAUUCCUCCCCAGGAAGAAUCAGUAUCUUGGCUCACUCUUUCACCAAUUGAGGAGCAUUUUUACCAGAGGCAGCAUGAGACUUGUUUAAAAGAUGCCCAUGAGGUGAUUAGAAAUUUGAAGAAUGACGUUGUCAAGAGAAAAACACCAGGUACUUAUGGUCUCUUCCACUCUUUCAAUUGUAAUUCAUUAAAAAAAAAAACUAUAUUACAUAUUUUGAUGCCCUUGCAUAGGUUCCAAAACCUCUGAUAGUUUAUCUGAUGAGUUCAUUACGCAUGUGGAGGCUGCGAAGAUGUUUAACUCACUCUUGAAGCUUCGACAAGCUUGCUGCCAUCCUCAAGUGGGAAGUUCUGGUCUACGUUCUUUGCAACAAUCUCCCAUGACCAUGGAGGAGAUACUGUUGGUAGGUUUAGCUUAUGGUUCAACAUACUAUUGUAUCUUUCAUAAGUUUUAGCCAGAAAAUUUCAAAUGUUAAAGCAGAUUUGUAUGUUUGGGUUCUAUGUAGGCUCUUGUAGGUAAAACAAAGAUAGAAGGAGAGGAAGCUUUGAGAAAAUUAGUCUCUGCAAUAAAUGGACUUGCAGGUAUAGCUGUACUUAAGCAAGAUUUUGCACAAGCAGUUUCAUUGUAUAAGGAAGCACUUGCUUUAGCUGAAGAAAACUUGGAAGAUUUUCGCUUGGACCCUUUGUUGAACAUCCAUAUUCAUCAUAAUCUCGCUGAGAUACUCCUGUUGUCAUCAGACAAUAAUAAACAAUCACAGAAUGUCCAUGGAAGCUUUAAAGAAGAUGUAUCCAUGGUAUGUGAUCUUGAAGAGAGUGAUCAACGUGCUGUAAAAAGGGCAAAAAUUGAUGCUGGAAACUCUAAUAUGGUCAUUGACUCUGAGAAAUUACCUGAGCAACCAUGUUAUGCUGAGGCAAAUGGUUCCAGUCAGAAAGCAUUCAUUGUUGAUCCACAUGCUUCAUCUCAAUCAACAAGUGAUCAAUUUUUCAGAACAGUAUGUGAGAAUUUAAAGCAGAAAUACUUAUCUCUCUUCUAUUCAAAAUUGUCCAUAGCUCAACAAGAGUUCUGGAAGUCAUAUGAACAGGUAUGUUUGUUCCAGUGAGAAAUCAUUUUGCGAAUUAUUUCUUUGCGAGUGCAAGGAGAUGAAAUGGUGGUUUUGUGUGUGGACCAGUUCUUCAUGGAUUGGUCUAAAGAGAAAUUUGUCAAUGGCUGACCAUCAGUUGCUAUCUUUUUGUUCUUAUUGAAGGUUUCUAUUGAGUUUAGCAACAGGAAAAGCCAGCACAUGACUUGGUGGUUAGAUGCCCUGCAUCAUCUCGAGCAAAACAAGGACACAUCAAGUGAGUUGAUCAGGAAAAUAGGGGAAGCUCUCUCUGUUACUCUGAGUACUUCACGUACAUCAAGAAUUGCAUCCUGGUUCGUUUACUCAGGAAUAAAUUCCUGUUUUAAUGUUUUUUAAUAGUUUGCUCAGAUUAUUUUUGGACUGCUAGUCACUUUUGCUUCUUUAAUGCAGCUUUGGUAGCAUAACAAGCCUAAAAUAUUACAUUCAGACUGGUCUGGAUUCAUUGGAAGAGUGUAGGAAAAACGUACUUGAUAGACUUUUGGAGAUUGACUACACAAUGGAAAAUCCAAGCGAGGCAGAUAUUGAUCGUGUAAGGCACUGUCCAAACUGUCAAGAUAAUGAUCAUGGUCCUCUCUGUGUCCACUGUGAGCUGGACGAUUUGUUUCAGGUGUUGUAGUUAAGUUCUAUUUAGCUUGAUUCUUUAUCAACUUAGCUAAAGGUUGGGGAUUGCAUUUGAUAUUUUAUUAUAUUAUGCAUUUUCUAUAGGUUUAUGAGGCCAGGCUUUUCCGUACAAAUAAAGGAAGGAAUGGUGAGGUGAUAACUUCUGCUGAAGAAGUAGUAGAUUUGCAAAAGAAAAGAUCUGCACUCAAUCACUUUUAUCGCACUUUGUCACAACCUGACCCUAAGUCAGCUUUGACUACUAACAAGUAUGAAGAUGAUGGAAAGAAGAGGGAUGUCAAGGAGAAAGUGAUGGUGAGUCAGAACAUAAUUGUUUCAUAUUUCUAGGUGCCAAUACUCGGAUAUGUUUGUUCUGUUUAUUUAUUCUGUAAUAUUGAGGCAGGUGGUCUUUUCUUUGAUACAAAAUUAUAUGCUUAUAAUAUGAGCCAUAGAUUGAGCAACAGUUGCAGAAUAUCAUGCAUGUGGAGAAAAAUUUAGCACUCACAAUCAUCGUUUUGUUCCAUUCUUUUUUGGUCUUGUCUUUCUAUCAGGAUGUCAAUUUAAUGUUGGCAUAUUAUGCUGAAAAAUAGAUGGGCUCAAAUGACUAGUUUCAACAAAUGGUUCUAAUGAAACUAGAAAGAGUAUCUUCAUCAUUGUUGUUAUAUGCUUACUGGCUUUGGAAAAUUUGUUGUAUGAUCAAAAGAGCCCAGGCGAAGUAUUUAAAAUUUCAUUAGGGUAAUCAGCUUUCCAAGUUUCAGGAUAGCUGAAUGAAAUCAUGAUGUUGCACUUGAAAUCAUCUGGGUUGAUGGGGCCGGGCUGGGGCAUCGUAUGCAUAUGAUUCCACCGUUCACAAAAUAAAAAGAAAAGCCAUUCCAUUUUGAACCAAAGGUUCAGAAAGUGAAAAAAGAUAGGACCGGCAGCUCUUCCAGGGUUUCCUCAUCUGAGAUCCCUGGGGAGGCAGAUCAAGUUGGCCCUUGCCAACAGCUUGCUGCAUUAUCUCCCUUCAACCCUCUGAGCAAAACGCAGCAAAAGAAAAGGAAGGAAAAUCUAUGGACAGAUCCUAUGAAGCUUCACCGGUCCCUGGGAUUGGCUUUGGGCCUUUCCUGUGCAGCUUAGGUGGAAGGUGAAGAAGGCUCCUUCUGGGGGACCUGAGCCAUUAGUGGGAUACCACUCUGCAAGAGCUAGAAUAGAGUGUGAGCUUCUGUCAGUUGCCCAAAGCAGACUUGGUGUCUUAAUGUAGGAGAAGUAUUCUCUCUGUCAUUUUGAUUAUUAAUUCACAGAGGCUACAUUUGCAGUAUGCAGAGUUGGUCACAAAACCAGAAAAUCAUUAAAGUUCAUGAUCAUAAAUGUCGAGGUGGUUAGUAGAGUCUAGGUACUUUGAUGCCUAAACUUCAGUUUUAAUCAAUUCAAAGGUAUGCCUUUUCAAAUUCUAAUAAGGGUUAGAUUAGGAAUUGACCAGUUUAACAUAUGAUAGAUUCUUUUUUAGUGUAAACAGCAGCAAUUAAAGUGACACAGAUGCAUGCAUGCCCGCAUGUCAAACUUCAUUGUGCUGUUUCUUGAAAUUGUUAUCAGUCGUCUAGCUAUUAGUCAGACCACCACAUAUAGAAGUGGGCUGUUAAAGUUAUAUGAGUUUCUAGCUAUUCCUAGCUUGCAGAAUGUAAGUUGAAUUAGCUUCUUUAGGCUAGAGAAAAACUCGAUCAAUUUCUAAGAUUUUCAGUUCUUUACAAUUUGUAAUGACAUUGGAUCACUAGGUUUCAAAAUCUCCCUCUGAUUUGGAGGUGGUGCUUGGGAUUAUCAAGAACAACGCCAAGGGUUUGUUAGAAAGAGAAGGCACAUCAGCAGCUGCUAAGCACCUAUUUCUUCUUGAGGUAUGAGCUAUUUUUGUGGGCACAUUCUGGUUUCUCUUUCAGAGUUUUGUCUAUCUGGGCCAAAGUCCUGAUCAGAGCUGUAGCAUUAGUGUGAUUAUCUCGAGCUCUUAGCUCAUUAUGUGUGAUAUUGUCUUGCUGUUUUUUUAGUUUCUAAACAUGAAUGCAAUGUAGUUAUGUUAGGAGAAACGUAAGAAUGAUAUUUUGUCGCUUACACUCGCCGGGAGGGGGUUUGGGUACUAAAAACUCUAGCUUGCUGGAUUGCAUGAUCUGAAUUUUGGCAUUUAAAUUACCAAAGGGAAUGCGCAAGGAAUAUGCCUAUGCAAGGUCCUUGGCUCGUGCCCAAGCUCAUGUGCUUAGGGCUCAUGAUGAAAUAAAGAUGGCAAGCUCACGAUUGCGACUAAAAGAAGAUGAAAAAGAUAAUUCAGUUGAUGCCUUGGGUCCUGAGGAGUUAGAUGCUGCAAGUACUCAAAAUUCUAGCGAUAAAUUUCUGGCAGUGUCUUCAUUGGCACGUAUCAGAGGACAACUUCGUUAUUUGAAGGUAAUCAGUAAAUUCAUGUUAUGUCUUUAAGCUUUCUGCUUGUUCUGUGAUUUAAUAUUAUUCUGAAUUUAGAUACUAUUAGAGGACAAGAGUAUAUUGCAUUUAUCCACAGAAUAUCAUCAGCUGUAUUGGUAGUGACUAUUUAGGAUUUCCCUUUACAAAGUAAUGACCAUGCUCGUGUAUUUUAAUUUGGAGAUGCAGUUUACAUGUGUAGUUUUCUGAAAGCAUUUAAGAUCUCCAGAGUACCAUUGCUUUCUUAUAGAGGCUCUGUGGUUACCUUAUUGGUCUUAAUGUACAACUAGCAGUUAUUUACCAAGGUUUUAAUAUACAACUACCACUUUCAGCUUGAUCUGAUUCCUAUGGUCAUUUAAAUUGAUCUGAUAUGUUUUUUCUUCUAGCUCAUUUUAUGGCUACUCAAUGUUAUAGCUGCUGUUUUGUUGCACGUAAGUCCAAUUCAUUGAUCAACCUUUGAAGUUCACAUUAGGCAUUACCUCAUGCUGAUGAUUUUUCAUUGGUUAACUUUCUUAGUUCACGUCAGCCACUAUCUCAUGCAUGGCAGAUGAUUUUAAUCCUUCUCAUCCUUAGUCACUUGGGCAAUUUUGUUAGAGAAUUUGGUGGCGAGGCUCAACUUGAACUCACUGGACUUUGCUGUGGGGCUAGUGAGGCAAAAUGCUCAGUUGUAGAUAGGUUUUCUUCACUGCAAUUUUAUUUAUAGCAGUUCUGUCAUACUCAAUUAUUUUUGCUGCCUCCUUGAUUCUUUUCCAGGGUUUGGUGCAAUCUAAACAAAACUUGCAGUCAGAAUGUCCAAAUGAAUCAACUUUAACUGAAUCUGCCAAGGCCUCUGUCGCUUCUGCAACGGAAGAUGAACGAUGCCAAGCUAAAGCUGAUGUGGAAUUUUGCCCAGUUUGUCAAGAGAAGCUCAGAGGCCAAAAGAUGGUAUUCCAAUGUGGGCAUGUUAUUUGUUGUAAAUGUAAGUUUUGUUUCCUGAAAUUUCUGGUGUGGUAGAAUUCUGUGUCAAAACCAUCUUCAUGUUUCCAUGGAUGAAAAUAGCCGAAGUAUUAUUGGCUUUGGUAGUUCUCCCCAUCCGUCCGUCCGUCCACACCCCCCCCCCCCCCCCCCCCCCCCCCCAAAAAAACUGAAAAAAACUCCUUUAUGGGUUGCACAUAUAGCUUUCUUUUCUGAAAAUGCAUGGAUAGCCUCAUGUUAACGAAUAAAAUAUCUUAGUGAUGCAUCUUCCACUUCUGCUUGCAGGUUUAUUUGCAAUCACUGAACAGAGAUUUGUUCACCAUGGAAAUAAGUGGGUAAUGUGCCCAACUUGCCGACAGCAUACUGACUAUGGAAAUAUAGCUUUUGCUGAUGAUAGACAUAAUGCCUCUGAUGCAUCUUCCAUGCUGGCUUGUGCAAACUCUGAAACUUUAACAGUCCAAGGUUCAUACAGUACAAAGGUGGUCUCCCUACUUCUGUGACCAAUAUAAUUGCUUAAGUUUUGAAUUGAAUAAUUAAUCUGCGCUCCAACAAUUUAGCGGCUGUUAGCAAAUUAUGCUUUUCCUGUGUCUACUGUCAUCUGUCAACUUCAAAAUGCUGGUAAUCUUAAAUUAAUCUCUUUUUUCUUUUACCUUGUUUUGGAUGGUUGUUGCAGAUUGAAGCAGUGACAAGGAGAAUUUUAUCCAUCAAAUCCAAAGAUCCAAUAGCAAAGAUUCUUGUUUUUACCAGUUGGAAUGACGUUCUUGAUGUGUUAGAGCAUGCUUUUACAGCCAAUAGUAUCAGCUACAUCCGGAUGAAAGGAGGCAGGUACAAUUUGUCACGGAGAAUUCUGUCAAGUUUUGCCUUUAUCAAUUUGUUAAAAAAAAUCAUCAUGCCACUCUAUUUACAUAUGCUUAAAUGAGUGAAAGUUCGGUUUGUCCUUGAAAUCAUGUUCCUGUAGAGGAAUUUUGUCAGGUCUGUUGAGCAACUUCUAUUUGCAUCCACACAAACAUUAUCUGCAGCGACUCAAAAUCUUUCUCAUUAGAUAGAGAUUUUAACAAGAAAAAUCUUGAUGUUCUGUUUGUGCUAAUUGACUUUGGUCAUUCAAUGACUGAAAUCUCUUUGCUGAUUCUUUUCUCAGAAUUACUGGAAGAAUGGGAUAUUUAGCUGCAUCUCUUUUGUAAUUCGAGAUGGACGGAAGCUGUUUACAAUUUAGUUUGGUCCUGUUGGAAUAUGUUUGGAUGAUUUCUAUGUUUUGAAAACCUUUAAUUUAGGUUUUUGUAUCUGGGAGAUAGAGGUAGAGGUCCUUGUAUCUUAUAGUCAUUUGUCACUCAUCAGAUCUGCUUCCACCACAAAUGACAAUGACUGUGUGCUUGAGUAACCCACUGCUGUUCUUAUUAAAACAUAGAGCAACCAUUGACAACGCAUGGCACCUUUUUGCUUUUCACCUGUGUUUUCUGUAGCUCUUAAGAAUUGUGUCUGAGACUCUUAAUAGUUAGUUGGACAGCUAAUUUUUAUGCUAAGAACACCUGCGACACCAUCAACCAAUGAGUAGUUCCUCCUCUCACCCCCUGAAAACAUCAGAAGGCAUGGCUUUUUCUUUCUCCUGAACACGAAGUAUGUCAAACUAUUUUGACACUCCUGUGUGAUUAAUGCAAAAGCUUUUCCAAAGGAAGUAUCUUUAAAAUCUAGGAGGACUGACAUCUUAUGGUAAUGGCUUUUGAGAAUGAUGUGUCUAGAAGUCUUUUAGCACUGAGGAUCAUUUGUUGCAAAACCUGUAUGUAGCACUAAAUGAACCAAAACUAUUCAAUUUGAUGAUUUUAGCUUAGUAAUCUGCAAAAGACUAAGCAAAACUUGGCUGGUUGAUUUUCUUGUGCUGAAUUAUAUACCUCUCUUUAAUGGCAAAAGUUGGAUACACACUGCUGUACCUGAAAUAAUUGGAAACUGCUUGCUUAUAGUAACUUGGCUUGGAUGUUGUUAUUAUGGUUGCUUCUUAGGUUUAGAAUAUAUAUCAUCUCAGUACAAAGUUCAAGCAUUUUGUGGUGGCUCUGAUCCUACAGGAAAUCACAUGUUGCCAUAAGCCAUUUCAGAGGGCAGAAUAAUGACAUAAAAGGAAGUGGAAAGAGGAAGAAGAACGGGAAACCAGUAGAUGAUUUUGUUCAGGUGUUAUUGCUCCUAGUCCAACAUGGUGCCAAUGGCCUCAAUCUGUUGGAAGCUCAGCAUGUCAUUCUUGUGGAGCCGCUGCUCAACCCUGCAGCAGAAGCACAAGCAAUAGGGAGGGUGCAUCGAAUUGGACAGGAGAACAAGACACUCGUUCAUCGUUUUAUAGUACGUUAUGCCACUUACAAGUUGCUUUCUAUGAAAGUUUACUGAAUUUUGUUAUGCUACCAACUGCAUGAAAAGAAAAGUCAUCCUUCUGUUCCAUGCUAUUUCUACGUGCUCUGUAGGAUACUUGCUAAUCCGUUGCAUAAUUGCUUUCUUUUUCCUUCUUGGACUUGGGUGCUAGGUUAAAGAUACGGUAGAGGAGAGCAUAUACAAACUAAACAAGAGUAGGAAUACAGGUUCUUUCGUGAGUGGAAACCGAAGAAACCAAGAUCAGCCAGUUUUGACCUUGAGAGAUGUGGAGUCCUUGUUCAGAGUAGUUCCAUCUUCAGACAUGGACGAAGAAAAGGCAAAUGGGAGCUUGAUGCACUUACCACCUUCCGUAGCUGCUGCUGUAGCUGCUGAGAGGAGGCUAUUGGAGGGCAGAGCAUGACGUGAGUGAGGCUCUCACUUGCAGGUUAAUAUUCAUGCAACACGUAGCUAGGGGAGGGAGUUGAAAGGGCGUGUAACUGGAACAUAAUUUAUCCUAGAUUGUUCCGGACCAGUGGCCACUAAAAGCUGUUCUCCUGUUGUCUUGUUUAUAAUAGCUCGGAGAGCUUAAAAUUAAAUUAGGUAGUCCAGUGCGGACAAUGCGAGCUUGUUGCUGUUAGUCAGUCCUCUCUAGAAUUUUUUACCGACUUCACUGAUUCUUGUGUAUAUUUAGUGUCUGGGAAGGUGAAAUUGAUGAAAAGAAUUUUGUACAGCCUCGUGAUUGAUGAUUAGUGGGAAAAACAAAUGUAAUGUGGUGUUAUUUGAAGCGUAUUUGGAGGAGCAUGUAAUCCUGUUUUAUUGAUUAAUAUUACCUUUAUUUGUCCGAUAUUGUUAAUGAUUUUUUUUUUAUCAUCUGACGGUAUGCACAACUUACGUUGCAGAUUGAACGUGUCGAGUGUCAAAAACAAUACCAAUGGGAAAUAUUUCAGUCUGUGGAAUCGUGAUAGUACUAAUAUCUAAAGAUUUAAAGCCAAUUAAAUUAGGUGAACAAUGGGUGAGGACGGAAAUAAUGAAGCAAACAAAGUCCCAUUCCAAGAAGAUUUGUCCCAGUUACAUCUUCAAAGGGUCGACCGUAACGUAAGUUCCUUUUUUUUUUUUGGUUUUUGGGGGGGGGGGGGGGGGGUCCUGAGCUAAGUGAACAAGAAAAAAAUUGAAAAAAAAUCGUACCUCUGCAUACAAAAAAAAAAAAAAUCAUACCUCGACAUACAACUAGGGGUGUGCAAAAUCAAAAAAUUUCGAUUUGAAUUCGGAAUUUCAAAUUCAGUAAUUCGAAAUGGAAAUCGAAAUAUCCGAUUUUGAAUUGGUCGAAUUCGGUAAUGAGAAUUUUCAAAUCGGAAAUUUCAAUUUCGAAUUCACAAUUCGAAAUCGAAAUUCGGGAUUCCUAUUUCAAUUUUAAAUCUAUUAUUCGUAUAUAUAUAAUAUAUUAUAUAACAUUUAUAUUAUAAUAAUAAUUUUUUUAUUCAUGAAUUCGGUGAAAUCAGGAUUCCUAUUUCGAUUUCAAUUUCGUUUUCACACACAUAUAUAAUAUUUUUUUUAUAUAUAUGUAAUAUAAUAUUUAUAUAAUAAUAAUUUUUAUAUUCAUGAAUUCGGUAAAAUCGAAAUUUAUCGAAUUUCGAAUUGAAUUCGAAACGAAUUCGGAAUUGAUGAAUUCGAAAUCGAAAUCGGUCGAAAAUUCUGAUACCAAAAUUUCAAAAAAUUCCGAUUUCAAAGUUCCGAAUUACCGAUUUCGAUUUUGAUUCACACCCCUACAUAUAACUCAUAAGAUUUGGCACACGCCAGGGAUGGACAGGGAUGAUUAAUGGCCAUGAUUUGGUCAAAUAUAUAUAUAUAUAUAUAUAUAUAUAUAUAUAUAUAUAUAUAUAUAUAUAUAAGGCUCCAAUCACAUCACAUUUUGUACGUCGAUCUUAGCAUCACAUGUAAAACUCAUAAAAUUUUGUUAUACAAUUACAAUUUUUUGAAAGUAAAUCACCUCUAGAACAAAUGAGACCACACCUUGUUAAAUCUAAAAUAAAAAAUCGUGAUUUUGUUUGGAUAAGAGUUUAUUUAGAUUAUUUAUUUGAGAUAAUUAUUAUAGCACUUUUUGUGUGUUGUGUGACGCGAUAUGUGCGAGAUGAAAAGAUAAUUAGGAAUAGUCCGCGCGGCACCCAAUCCAAAUUGCAGCAGAGCAGAGCAGACCAGGCCAGACCAAACUCAGCAAGAACCCAGAAUCCGGGAUCCGAUUGAUUGAUUUAGCCACCGCUCCGCUAUUCUCAUGGAUGAUGUCACCAGACCAGCAAUUUGCAUACGCAAAUCUCAAUCUGGACAGCAUCGCAACGUGUUGGGCCGCUCCUGGGAGCGCGUGCCAAUCUCGUCCUUGUUUUCCGAGCCACUGGAUUCUAUCCUCACGUGUCACAAACCCCACAUCCCGACCUAACCGUAUAUGUAAGUCCGGGCCUUCCUGCUUCCAAUCUAAAGGCGGCCACUUUGCCAGCGCAACAAUGACAGCCUUUACCUCCCACGUUGUCAAAGUCCACGAUCUUUGUUCACCUUUGCUGAUGCCGACGACGAGAUCCAAAUACACGGUUUCUUCGGGUUUAACAUCAGCCGCGUGGUCUCAGCCUCAUGGGGGGAGGUUGAGAUUAGAGCAACCAUGGCCAAAUAGGCAGCUAGAGAAGGUGGUCGAGUGUGCCAAAGGGGGUUCAGCUUCAGCUUCGGCGUCGGAAUGGGGAGAUGAAAUCGUAACAGAAGAAGAAUUGAUGGGUCUGGGGAAGUUGGGAGGCAAGUGCGAAGAGACCAGAGGAAUUGCAGAGUUGUUGGAGUGCUUGGAAAGAGAAGCAAUCAUGGGGGAGGAUGAAGGUAAAGAGCCCACUGAUUACAAUCGAAGGGCUCAGAUUUUUCACAAGAGUUCUAGGGUUUUCCAGUCGCUUAAAGAAAGCAGCACCCCUCUUCCCUAGUUGUUCUUUUGAUUUCUGGGGAAGGUAGCGGUACCCGACCAGGGCCUAUAACUGGACGUCGAGUGUUAACUGUCUAAGCUAGUGUUUUAACUUUUUUAAUCCUACAGUUUUUGUGUAAUUGUAUAUCACAAAUCAUCAUCAAUCAACACAUGUUGAUUUUUUAUUUUUUAUUUUUUAACCCGCCUGAUGAGAUCAAUCUCAUGGUAUCAAAUUUAUAUUGGAAAAUAGUAAUUCGAUGGAAUACGUUUUAUUAGAAGCACGGAUUCCGUUCGAGAUUCUAUUAUUAACAGAAUAUAUCGAUUAGAGCCACUUAAAUUUUUUGUUUCUGACGAGAGACGCCGCAAAAUCUCAUGUUGAACUAAAUGUUCGUUCGUUAGUUAGUUAGUCUGAGAGCACCAAAGUCCACAAAUAUCAGAUUUGAGGAAUUUGCUGCCAAAUGACUGUAUUGGUGCCAGAGCUGUGAUCAGAAGCUAAUCUGAGAGCACCAAAGUCGACAAAUGUUAGAUUGCUGCCAACUGACCGCAUCCGCGCCAGGGUUGCGACAAAUAUUAGAUUGAAGCAUUUGGUCCUUUGCCCCUAAAUGAGUCUGCAUUAAUGCAUAGUUCAGGUCCUCUUGAUACGACCCUUGGCUUUUAUUAUGCCCUUCCGAUCACCUAAAGGUAACCAGAGCCAGGUUAAUGACAGAGAAUGAUUGACAAAUCAAAACAAUUGAAACAUAAGACAGAUGCAAACAGUCGAACAUCCAAUGACAUCUUUAGUACAACAAAUUAAGCUUAACGAGCCCAUGCACGGAAUGAAUGACUCUUCCUGACGGCCGGACUAGGUAACGACUAAAUCUUAUCAAGAGCCUGGUCACCUACCUACCUGAUGCCAAUAAAUAACAAAUGCCUAACAGAAUUUCCAGUGGUUAUUGCAGUUCACACACGUUACAAAUGUAGUCAUAGGUUCAUC
rnacentral:lncRNA from 1 species